rnacentral:rRNA from 1 species
GACGAACGCUGGCGGCGUGGAUUAGGCAUGCAAGUCGAACGGUAUCAUCCUUUCGGGGGUGAGAGAGUGGCGAACUGGUGAGUAACACGUAGGUUAUCUACCCUCAAGACGGGGACAACCCAGGGAAACUUGGGCUAAUACCGGAUGUGAGCAACUUUUAGUUGUUUGAAAGGUGGCGUAAGCUGUCGCUUGGGGAUGAGCCUGCGUCCUAUUAGUUAGUUGGUGAGGUAACGGCUCACCUAGGCAAUGAUAGGUAGGCGGCCUUAACGGGUGGUCGCCCACACUGGGAUUGAGAUACGGCCCAGACUCCUACGGGAGGCAGCAGUCGAGAAUAGUCUACAAUGGUCGGAAGACUGAUAGUGCGACGCCGCGUGAACGAUGAAUCCCUUCGGGGUGUAAAGUUCUUUUAUAUGUGAGCAGUGCUUCUUAUAUUAAACAGUAUGGGGAGAGAGAUAUUAGCAUAUGAAUAAGCAACGGCUAACUCCGUGCCAGCAGCCGCGGUAAUCUCG